rnacentral:rRNA from 1 species
UACGUAGGGACCAAGCGUUGUCCGGAAUCAUUGGGCGUAAAGAGCGUGUAGGCGGCUUGUUAAGUCUUGCGUGAAAUCUCGGGGCUCAACCCCGAGCGGUCGUGAGAAACUGGCAGGCUAGAGUGCGGGAGAGGAGAGUGGAAUUCCUGGUGUAGCGGUGAAAUGCGCAGAUAUCAGGAAGAACACCCGUGGCGAAAGCGGCUCUCUGGAACGGUACUGACGCUGAGACGCGAAAGCGUGGGGAGCGAACAGG